rnacentral:rRNA from 1 species
UACGGGGGGGGCAAGCGGUUGUUCGGAAUUACUGGGCGUAAAGGGCGUGUAGGCGGCCAACUAAGUCCGACGUGAAAUCCCCAGGCUUAACCUGGGAACUGCGUCGGAUACUGGAUGGCUUGAAUCCGGGAGAGGGAUGCAGAAUUCCAGGUGUAGCGGUGAAAUGCGUAGAUAUCUGGAGGAAUACCGGUGGCGAAGGCGGCAUCCUGGACCGGCAUUGACGCUGAAGCGCGAAAGCUAGGGGAGCAAACGGG